rnacentral:rRNA from 16 species
CGACCUCAGAGCAGGCGAGAC